CCUCGCCUAGAAGAUGGGGCGUUGUCUGUGCGUUGCGCAGGCAGCGAGUCCCAGGCAGCCCUGCCCUCCGCCGGGCGAGCGGGGCCGGCGCCCGUCUCCCGGGGCCUAGCAGGGGGAGCGGUCCCCAGGCCUGGCCGUCCUAGGGGGAUCUGCGGGCGCAGGGAGAGAGAGAGCUUCCUUCGGGUGGUUCGCUCCGCAGGUGGCCAGGGCUGGGCCGGGCCGAAGCCAGCAGCCCAGUGCCAGGAACGCCAUCCGGGUGUCCUGUGUGAGUAGCAGGGACCCAGGGACCUGAGCCAUCAUCGGCCACGUUGCAGGUUGGGUGUUGACAGCCCAUCCCAUCUGUCCCUGGACCCAGACUUCCGGAUUAACCCGACCUAAAAGACCUUCUGGAAUGGUUUCAGGAUCCUUAGGUGCCUCAUGGAGGAGAGCCAAGAAUUCCUCGCCUGGCUGCUUGGGACUGAACACUUGUACUUGGCCUUGACUUAAAUACACAGUAGCAGUCGA